CAACAGGGAAACCCUCCAAGUGCCCUCGAAGAUUCUUCAACUGAAUAUUCCAGUCCACAUUAUAUUACAAUGCCACUGCCACUACCUCUGCUUCCGACACUGAUUGCACCGUUCUCUCCCCGAAUUUCCCUCCCUGAACUAGACCAAGGUCCUCAUGGCUCUUAUUCUCGCUCCAGUACAGACAGACAAUGAAUGACUACAGAACAAUUGCCAGAAAUGAACGGUGACCUGUGAAAUCAUGCUACACGGAGGUGGAGGCUAUUCAGUGCACACCACAGGCUCCCCUACAUUUGACAAAAGUGAGACUUUCUGGAGUUACCUGGCCCCAAAUGCUGGACAGAAAUUGCUCAUCUUCCACCCUCUCAUAGGCUCUAGGAAUCUAAAAAUUAUAGCCAUUUAGAUAGAGGAUAAAAAACACAUCUGUUUUUAGAAGACUGCAAAGAUUUAAAAAUGUGAAUUAAUUCCUUUAACAUAUUUAAUCAAUAACAUUUAUUCACAUUUUAGAUGUUUGAACCAACUAUUUUCCGCAACCAUCCUCUCUUACCCUUUCUAAUUGUUUCAUUUGGUUUCUUGGAAAGUAUUUGUAUGGGGGUUUUUGACGUGGUUUGUGAAAGUUCUUCUGCACCAACUCUUUUUAUAGGAGCUUUCAUAAGAUAUUAGUUUUUUUAAUUCAUCAGAAUGAAAAAAUCCUGUUCAAAGGAGAACAUUUUCCACUGAAUAGUAGAAGGUGGAUGUCUUCAGUGAUUUUUCUGUAUUACUUAUCAGUUUAUGUAUUACAGAAGAAAUAUAUAGCGGCCUUUGUACAGAAAAAAACAUAUAAAUCAAAAACAUUUUUAGGCCAUGUUUCCUGCAUUUGAUGCCUGAAGAAAAUCUAUAGCCUUUCUCUUAUUCAGAUUUAAUUUGGCAGAAAAUCAUGCAGAUAGAAUUUUAAUGUCAACUUCAUCUUUUACUGUUAGAUUACAAGGAUUUCUAUAUUAAAGUAUAAAUGUUAAA